rnacentral:rRNA from 1 species
AUGAACGCUGGCGGCGUGCCUCAUACAUGCAAGUCGAGCGAACAGAUGAGGAGCUUGCUCCUCUGACGUUAGCGGCGGACGGGUGAGUAACACGUGGAUAACCUACCUAUAAGACUGGGAUAACUUCGGGAAACCGGAGCUAAUACCGGAUAAUAUAUUGAACCGCAUGGUUCAAUAGUGAAAGACGGUUUUGCUGUCACUUAUAGAUGGAUCCGCGCCGCAUUAGCUAGUUGGUAAGGUAACGGCUUACCAAGGCGACGAUGCGUAGCCGACCUGAGAGGGUGAUCGGCCACACUGGAACUGAGACACGGUCCAGACUCCUACGGGAGGCAGCAGUAGGGAAUCUUCCGCAAUGGGCGAAAGCCUGACGGAGCAACGCCGCGUGAGUGAUGAAGGUCUUCGGAUCGUAAAACGCUGUUAUUAGGGAAGAACAAAUGUGUAAGUAACUAUGCACGUCUUGACGGUACCUAAGCAGAAAACCACGGCUAACUACGU